GGCCAGACUCCUACGGGAGGCAGCAGUGGGGAAUAUUGGGCAAUGGGCGAAAGCCUGACCCAGCAAUGCCGCGUGAAUGAAGAAGGUCUUAGGAUUGUAAAAUUCUGUCCUAUGGGAAGAAACAAAUGACGGUACCAUAGGAGGAAGCCCCGGCUAACUACGUGCCAGCAGCCGCGGUAAUACGUAGGGGGCAAGCGUUAUCCGGAUUUACUGGGUGUAAAGGGAGCGUAGACGGCAGCGCAAGUCUGGAGUGAAAUGCCGGGGCCCAACCCCGGAACUGCUUUGGAAACUGUGCAGCUGGAGUGCAGGAGAGGUAAGCGGAAUUCCUAGUGUAGCGGUGAAAUGCGUAGAUAUUAGGAGGAACACCAGUGGCGAAGGCGGCUUACUGGACUGUAACUGGCGUUGAGGCUCGAAAGCGUGGGGAGCAAACAGGAUUAGAUACCCCUGUA
rnacentral:rRNA from 1 species